UACGUAGGUGGCAAGCGUUGUCCGGAAUCACUGGGCGUAAAGCGCGCGCAGGCGGCGAUCUACGUCUGGGGUGAAAGCCCGGAGCUCAACUCCGGGACUGCCUUGGAUACGGGAUCGCUUGAGGAUUGGAGAGGCAAGGGGAAUUCCACGUGUAGCGGUGAAAAUGCGUAGAGAUGUGGAGGAACACCUGUGGCGAAGGCGCCUUGCUGGCCAAUUUCUGACGCUGAGGCGCGAAAGCGUGGGGAGCAAACAGG
rnacentral:rRNA from 1 species